rnacentral:lncRNA from 1 species
AGAAAUCCCUUCUACGAACCCAAGAGGUAAGAGAGAAAAAUCCAAGUUGAAAAUCACAUAGUAACCUUCUGGCUCGAUACAAUUAACCUAGCCUUAAUUCUUCCUUACAUAUGCCUCAAGGAUUUGUGCCAUGUGCCACUAGUACUCAUGGAUGCAAGACAUGUAGCCCAGUUAUUUCUUAGUUAAAUCAUAACUGGAUGCGUGCACUCUUCUUUAUCCCGAU